GGCAAAGUGGCCGAGUGGUCUAAGGCGCUGGAAUUAGGUUGAGGAUUACGCAAUCCAAGAUCAUAUAAUCCAGUCCUCCGGGGCGUGAGUUCGAACCUCACCUUUGUCA